rnacentral:rRNA from 1 species
UACGUAGGGAGCAAGCGUUGUCCGGAUUUAUUGGGCGUAAAGCGCACGUAGGCGGAUUGUUAAGUCAGAGGUGAAAUCCCGGAGCUCAACUUCGGAACUGCCUUUGAUACUGGCAAUCUAGAGUCCGGAAGAGGUUAGUGGAAUUCCCAGUGUAGAGGUGAAAUUCGUAGAUAUUCGCAAGAACACCAGUGGCGAAGGCGGCUCACUGGCCCGGUACUGACGCUGAGGCACGAAAGCGUGGGGAGCAAACAGG